rnacentral:rRNA from 1 species
UACAGAGGAUGCAAGCGUUAUCCGGAAUGAUUGGGCGUAAAGCGUCUGUAGGUGGCUUUUUAAGUCCGCCGUCAAAUCCCAGGGCUCAACUCUGGACAGGCGGUGGAAACUACCAAGCUGGAGUACGGUAGGGGCAGAGGGAAUUUCCGGUGGAGCGGUGAAAUGCGUAGAGAUGUGGAGGAACACCAGUGGCGAAGGCGACUUUCUGGCCUAUAACUGACGCUGAGGCGCGAAAGCGUGGGGAGCAAACAGG